CCGCCGCCCCGGCGGUUACUGUAGGGCCUGCGGCUUCCGCCCGUGCCCGCGAACCACCGCCACCGCCUUACCAUGAAGCCAGUGAGUCGCCGCACCCUAGACCGGAUUUAUUCCGCGUUGCUCCUCGCGGUCGUAUUGCUCUCCUGGGGAUACGUCAUCUAUGCAUCAACUGUAGCUGCACGACGACAACUAAGCAAGGAAUACCCAGACAAAAUCUUCGGAAUGAACGAAAAUUUGUAAUUCCUCUGGAUUUGAU